AAGAGCCGUAUGAUGGGAGACUAUCACGUACGGUUCCCUUUAGAUUUGAAAUAAGAAACAAUCCAUAAUUAUAU
rnacentral:ncRNA from 1 species